UUAUUCUGACGUCGGAUGAUAAUCUAUUUUCUUAGUUAUUAUCACGUAUACGGAAGAUAAACAAUAUCAUUAAUAUCUAUGUUCUUAGUUCGCGGUUAUUAUCAUAUUCGUUUGACGGUUUGUUGUGUUCACCUGUUAGAUAAUGGUCGAAUAAUAUUAUAUCUAUGCGUUUACCACCGUUGCGGCAUCGUUGGUGGCAGCGCGGCGCGCGGUUUAAAUGUGUUUGCGGCCGAAAAAACGACAAUUCAAACCGAAAUACCGAUCGUGUGUCUAUACGCACACUGAGACACGACUACACGAGCCUUAUCGGACCGAUACAAGAGUACAAGACGCUCGACUGGGCCACUAGACGUCGUCGUCACUGCUCGGUGUGCUCUUGCGUAGUAGUGCGCGUCGGUAAAGUCGGUUAGAAAAUGUGCCGUUAGCGAACGACCGAAUUUCAUUGCACGAACCACGCUCCCGAUCAGUCGAUAUUAGGUCUCGAAGAGACGCGAAGAUUCAUUCAUUAUUUCUCAGACAACUAAAUCGUAAAACACGAAUCUUCUAUAAUAAUAAGUGUGGCAAAGCGUUCAAUAUGAAGUAUAUUAUUAUGUGUUCAUCUGCUAGUUUUUAACUGUAGAAUAUUGGGGCCGCGUACUUCUCGAGUCAAAACCAAGUUGUCUAGUACAUUAAAGAAUAUCUUUGCAAAAAUGUUCGCCAGUGCCUUCGAAAAAUCUCAAUACAUCAUUUCUGCUUAAAUAUUUGCACCAACUUCCCAAAUGUCAAGGAUUAUGUUGAAACAUGAAAUAAUAGAUUUAACAAGAACAAGAACAAUCAAAUAUUAAAAGACGGUUUUCCGUUGUUGUUGAGGAUAAAAUCAAAUUAGUACACAUACGGUAUUUUUUUUUUUUUUUAUUAUUAAA